AUCUCGUUCUUCAAUGAAAUUUGUUUACAUUAUUCCAAUAUUCUUGCGUACAGGAAGCAAUCGAGCACUUGACAUUUCCUUGACCAUUUGGUAAGCCAAUUGUCAUAUCGUGCAGAACCAACCAGAAGGAAAAACGAGCCACACAAACAACUCCACACAGCACAUGAUUGCAGUCAACUAUUCAAACUUGUUGCACUCGAAUGCAGCUCCAACUCUCACUCGGAAUCGAAACGCAGCUAAUUGUUUACUAUUGCCAUUUAGUUAAAUUGGCUUUUCAUAAAUUGCGUGUGGUAAAUUCUCGUGAGCCGCGCAAUGCCGCUUUAUUGUUAUACAACAACCGUUAGAAUUGGCUGCUAAUUAAAUUAUGUUUGGCUUAAUUGAAGUACGAAUGACUUGGAUUUUCCGUUGAACACUGAACUCAACUUGGCGGAGCCACAAAAAUUU